rnacentral:rRNA from 1 species
CCUACGGGUGGCAGCAGUAGGGAAUAUUGCUCAAUGGGGGAAACUCUGAAGCAGCAACGCCGCGUGGAGGAUGAAGGUUUUAGGAUUGUAAACCUCUUUUGUUAGAGAAGAUUAUGACGGUAUCUGACGAAUAAGCACCGGCUAACUCCGUGCCAGCAGCGGCCGGAAUACGGAAGGUCCAACCGAUACUCUGAUUCGCUGGGCGGAAAGGUUGCGUAGGGGGGGUAGUAAGUUAGAUGUGAAAUCCUGUAGGCUAAAUACUGAACUGCAUUGGAAACUGUUACUCUGGUGUGUGGGAGAGGUAGGUGGAAUUCUUGGUGUAGGGGUAAAAUCCGUAGAGAUAAAGAGGAAUACUCAUUGCGAAGGCGACCUGCUGGAACAUUACUGACGCUGAUGCACGAAAGCGUGGGGAGCAAACAGGAUUAGAUACCCGUGUAGUC